rnacentral:rRNA from 1 species
UACAGAGGGGGCGAGCGUUGUUCGGAAUUACUGGGCGUAAAGGGCGCGUAGGCGGCCCGCUAAGUCGAACGUGAAAUCCCCAGGCUCAACCUGGGAACUGCGUCCGAUACUGGCAGGCUUGAAUCCGGGAGAGGGAUGUGGAAUUCCCAGUGUAGCGGUGAAAUGCGUAGAUAUUGGGAGGAACACCAGUGGCGAAGGCGGCUACCUGGACCGGUUCUGACGCUGAGGCGCGAAAGCGUGGGUAGCAAACAGG